ACUAGAUGUCAACGAUCUUUAUAAAGUUGUUUGAAGCGUCUAUGAUAAACAGAGAGCAAAUUAGAAUCCAAGGAAGUUGACAUGUCAUCACUUCAUUUUUUUGCGCCUGCGCAUAAAUCUGAGAAACGUGAGUUUUGUCUUCAUUGUUUAUCUCGACAUAGGAUAGGUUGUGUGAAAAUAUUACUGAUGUUUAACGUUAAAAAUGGACCAAAAGAUUAAUGCUAAACAACAUUUGACAUGUUUGAACGAACAUAAAUAGAUUAUUUACUAGGUUUUUUUAGCUUUUCGGCGUGAUUUUACAGUCCCCCACCACGUUUUGUGGGAGCAUAAUGAACGCUAAGUACUUGGUGUUAUUUGGACAUAAAUUAUGAACUUUGUCAAAAGAAACCACAUUUGUUCCGGACCUGGGAUGCCUUCCGGACCUGGGAUGCCUGUCUUCUGAUGGAGAUAAUCAAAGGCCGGUGGUAGCUGGUCCCCUCUGGACAUCGAGGGGGGCCCGGCGUAUACAGUAUGCUCCAUUCUGGACUCAAGGCGCCGGGUGGGGGGCCUGCAGUACCUCGUGGACUGGGAGGGAUACGGUCCGGAGGAGAGGUGCUGGGUCCGGGUGGGGGACAUACUGGAUCCAUCAUUGUUAGUUGAUUUCCAUCGCCUCCAUCCGGAUCGCCCUGCGCCUCGUCCUCCGGGUCGACCUCAAGGCCGGUGUCGGCGCGCUACGGGAGCCGUGUGUUGGGGGGGGUACUGUCACGACUACUGCCGAG
rnacentral:lncRNA from 1 species